CGGACGGGUGAGUAAUGUCUGGGAAACUGCCCGAUGGAGGGGAGUAACUACUGGAAACGGUAGCUAAUACCGCAUAACGUCGCAAGACCAAAGAGGGGGACCUUAGGGCCUCUUGCCAUCGGAUGUGCCCAGAUGGGAUUAGCUAGUAGGUGGGGUAACGGCUCACCUAGGCGACGAUCCCUAGCUGGUCUGAGAGGAUGACCAGCCACACUGGAACUGAGACACGGUCCAG
rnacentral:rRNA from 1 species